GAUUACAGGAGUGUGCCACCACACCUGGCAACUCAUUGUCAUUUGGGAAUACAGUCAUGACCUCGACUACCAAAUGCUUAACACUGCUCACUGUGGUGUCAAUUGGUGCCAAGUGGGAGCCCGAAUCAGGAGAGAGGAUCUUACCACACACUGCCAGUCCAGGAGAUCCGAACUGAACAUCUGGUUUCCACUGGAAGUGCAUUGCUCUUGUAAAGUGUUGUAAAGUUAAGCUGUCCUACAUGGAACCAUCCCACGUUGGGGACUCUCUGUAUCCUCAGUACAAGUUAUUUGAGAUACAUGUAUUAAGAAUAUA